rnacentral:rRNA from 2 species
UACGUAGGUGGCAAGCGUUGUCCGGAAUUACUGGGUGUAAAGGGAGCGUAGGCGGGAAGCCAAGUCAGCUGUGAAAACUACGGGCUUAACCUGUAGACUGCAGUUGAAACUGGCUUUCUUGAGUGAAGUAGAGGUUGGCGGAAUUCCGAGUGUAGCGGUGAAAUGCGUAGAUAUUCGGAGGAACACCGGUGGCGAAGGCGGCCAACUGGGCUUUAACUGACGCUGAGGCUCGAAAGUGUGGGGAGCAAACAGG